rnacentral:rRNA from 1 species
GCGUGAAUGAUGAAGGCCUUAGGGUUGUAAAAUUCUUUCAGUAGGGAAGAUAAUGACGGUACCUACAAAAGAAGCCCCGGCUAACUCCGUGCCAGCAGCCGCGGUAAUACGGAGGGGGCUAGCGUUGUUCGGAAUUACUGGGCGUAAAGCGCUCGUAGGCGGAUUGGUCAGUCAGAGGUGAAAGCCCAGGGCUCAACCCUGGAAUUGCCUUUGAUACUGCCAGUCUUGAGUUCAGGAGAGGUAAGCGGAAUUCCGAGUGUAGAGGUGAAAUUCGU